rnacentral:rRNA from 1 species
AUGUUAGGUUUGGCUGGUUUGCUCCGAUCAAGAUCAGUCGGCGGCAUCGAGGGCCAUGAGGAUGGCCCUGAAGAGGUUGAUGAUGUCGAGGUAGAGGGUGAUGGAGGCGGCGACGUACUCGUCGUAGGUGUAGCGCUUGAUGAGGUUGUCGGUGUCGUAGAUGAUGAAGGCGGAGAAGAUGAGCGCGGCUAUGCAGCCGUAGACGAGCACGGCCGUCUUGCCCAUGGGGAAGAGGAUGAUGACGAUGGCGUAGAGCAUGAGGAUGACGCAUGCGGCGAAGAGAAAGGGCCCCAGGAACUCGAAGUCGUGGCCGCGCCUGCCCGCCCAGAAGGUGUAGGCGGUGAGCGAGACCACGACGACGAGCGUCAUGCCCGCCGCCUCGAAGAUGAUGGGCCCGCGCUUGGUGAGGCACCCCAGCCCCACCGACAGGCUGACGCACACGGUGAAGAUGCCCAGGAACACCAGGUUCACCGGGUGCUUCUGCCGGAAGUAGACCAUGGGCAGCAUCACUGCGCUCACACCAACGGCGUCCAUCAGCAACGCAUGGAGAAUGUACCCAUGAAUGAGAAAGCGAAGCAGAGAUACCGACCGAGGAGGGGGGAGAUGAGGAUGAGGAUGAAGGCGACGAGGGCGGCGGGGGUGCGGGAGAGGAAGAAGUUGCGGACGCAGUCGGUGAGGUUCAUGGCGGCGGCGACGGCCACGGUGACGAGCAUCUGGAUGGAGACGAUGACGUACACCUUGCGGAUGAAGGCCCAGCGCAGCUCCGGGCUCUCGAUCAUGUACCCGUCGGGCCCCGACGGGUAG